CCUUUGUAUUAUUAUAUUGGAGCUCAUGGUUUUAAUCAACAAAUUCAAGCAGUCAGAUAUAUAUGACCUCCCCUUUUUAUUGUGUCUGCUCUUAAAAAAAGACACUUCCUGAAUACAGGAGACAACACAA